UACAGAGGUCCCAAGCGUUGUUCGGAUUCAUUGGGCGUAAAGGGUGCGUAGGUGGCGCUGUAAGUCGGGUGUGAAAUUUCGGAGCUUAACUCCGAAACUGCAUUCGAUACUGCGGUGCUUGAGGACUGGAGAGGAGACUGGAAUUCAUGGUGUAGCAGUGAAAUGCGCAGAUAUCGGGAGGAACACCAAUUGCGAAGGCAGCUCGCUGGGACGUUACUGACGCUGAGACGCGAAAGCGUGGGGAGCAAACAGG
rnacentral:rRNA from 1 species